rnacentral:lncRNA from 1 species
AACCUAUACUCACUUACUACGGCACACAUCCCAGACUACUUAGAAUAUAGACUCAAAUUAUGUCCUAGUCUAGAUAUGACCAAAUGAGCAUAAGGCAUGUUGAUUGUUGAGCCAUCUUCAAGCUUUAAUAGAACCUUGUCUUCAUCAAAACAUAGGCAGAGAAAUGCUAGUGCUAUCCUUGACACUUUGCACUCUCAAUCUCCCCAUUUUUG